rnacentral:rRNA from 1 species
ACUCCUACGGGAGGCAGCAGUGAGGAAUAUUGGGCAAUGGAGGCAACUCUGACCCAGCCAUGCCGCGUGCAGGAAGACGGCCCUAUGGGUUGUAAACUGCUUUUAUACAGGAAGAAACGCAUCUACGUGUAGGUGUUUGACGGUACUGUAAGAAUAAGGAUCGGCUAACUCCGUGCCAGCAGCCGCGGUAAUACGGAGGAUUCGAGCGUUAUCCGGAAUCAUUGGGUUUAAAGGGUCCGUAGGUGGAUGAUUAAGUCAGAGGUGAAAUCCUGCAGCUCAACUGUAGAAUUGCCUUUGAUACUGGUUGUCUUGAAUUAUUGUGAAGUAGUUAGAAUAUGUGGUGUAGCGGUGAAAUGCAUAGAUAUCACAUAGAAUACCGAUUGCGAAGGCAGAUUACUAACAAUACAUUGACACUGAUGGACGAAAGCGUGGGGAUCGAACAGGAUUAGAUACCCUGGUAGGAUAGCGU